rnacentral:rRNA from 1 species
CGCCUUGCCAGCCCGCUCAGAAACUACAAAGGAAUUGACGGGACCCCGCACAAGCGGUGGAUCAUGUUGUUUAAUUCGAUGAUACGCGAAGAACCUUACCAGGUCUUGACAUCCCCCGCGAUGCUUUAGAGAUAAAGCGGAGGUAUUCGGGGAGACAGGUGGUGCAUGGUUGUCGUCAGCUCGUGUCGUGAGAUGUUGGGUUAAGUCCCGCAACGAGCGCAACCCCUAUUGCUAGUUACCAUCAUUAAGUUGGGGACUCUAGCGAGACUGCCAGUGAUAAACUGGAGGAAGGUGGGGAUGACGUCAAAUCAUCAUGCCCCUUAUGACCUGGGCUACAAACGUGAUACAAUGGCUGGAACAAAGGGAUGCGAAGCAGUGAUGUGGAGCGAAACCCAUAAAAACAGUCUCAGUUCGGAUUGAAGUCUGCAACUCGACUUCAUGAAGUCGGAAUCGCUAGUAAUCGCGGAUCAGAACGCCGCGGUGAAUACGUUCUCGGGGUUU